rnacentral:lncRNA from 1 species
AAAAAAACCAAAAAAAAAAAAAAAAAAAAGAAAGAAAGAUUACACAUAUGCAUGCCCAUACACAUACAACAUAAAUGCAAAAACCAUUUCUAAUAGUAACUAUGAAGUCCUUAAACUGUUUAAAGCUACUCUUCUUACCUGCACACACACAAUUUUGAAAUUUACCAACAAAUAAUAGGUUAAAGUACAGAGUAUUGUAUUCCUAUAAUGAACUGCUACAAACUCAAUAAAGGAAGGAUACUAUAGCGAUGCAUAUCUGCAAUCACCUCACUCAGGAAGCUGAGGCAAGAAGAGUAAAGUGGGAGGGAGGCCAGCUUGUGCUAUACAGUGAGGCAUAACAAUCUAUAGUUACUGAAAGCAGAGAGAUCCAGAUUGUGCAGUGACUAUUUAAAAGAGCACAGCUGUUGUAUUACAUGUGCAUAUUUGUGCAAAAGCACUUUGGAAGAAUGUUAGCUACGUGCUCAUGGUUUGCUCUUCUUGGCAUGAGAGCCAAGUAAAAAAAGGUUAAAAAAUAUCCUUGAGGGGAUGUUUUUGAUGAAGUAAUUUUCUUUCCCUCUUUGGCUUCCUAGAAUGUUCCAAGUUUUCUGCAAUACCUACCUUGUUUAUGAAAAAAAAUUAUUUAGAAAUUAUUAGAAAAAAUUAAUUAUAAAUUAUUAUUUGUGUAUGAAUGUUUUACUUGCAUAUAUUAUGAACAAGUGUGACUACAGAGGUCAGAAGAGGAUGUUGGAUCUCUUGGAACUUAACCCUGACCUCUGAAAGAGCAUUAAGUGCUCUAAUUGUCGCACCAUCUCUAACUCAGUGUUUCUCUACCUGUGAGUUACAACCCUUUCACAGGGGUCACCUAGGACCACUGGAGAACAUAGAUAUUUACAUUAUGAUUCAUAACAGUAGCAAAAUUACAGUUAUAAAGUAAACAAAAAUAAUUUUAUGGUGGGGAUAACAACAUGAGGGUACUGGCUGCUAAGCCGGAUUUUGACCUGAAUUUGGUUCCUAGACCCCCAAGUUGUGUGCACCAACACAGACAC